rnacentral:rRNA from 1 species
CUUGAGAUGGGAAUAAACCCGGGAAACUGGGUAUAAUACCCGAUAGAUCUCGACUGCUGGAAUGCAUCGAGAUCCAAAGCUCCGGCGCUCAAGGAUGGAUCUGCGGCCUAUCAGGUAGUAGUGGGUGUAGCGUACCUACUAGCCUACGACGGGCACGGGUUGUGAGAGCAAGAGCCCGGAGAUGGAUUCUGAGACACGAAUCCAGGCCCUACGGGGUGCAGCAGGCGCGAAAACUUUACAAUGCUGGAAACAGCGAUAAGGGGACCUCGAGUGCCAGGUUACAAAUCUGGCUGUCGUGAUGCCUAAAAAGCAUUGCAUAGCAAGGGCCGGGCAAGACCGGUGCCAGCCGCCGCGGUAACACCGGCGGCUCGAGUGGUAACCGUUAUUAUUGGGUCUAAAGGGUCUGUAGCCGACCGGAUAAGUCUCUUGGGAAAUCUGGCAGCUUAACUGUCAGGCUUUCAGGAGAUACUGUCUGGCUCGAGGCCGGGAGAGGUGAGAGGUACUUCAGGGGUAGGGGUGAAAUCUUGUAAUCCUUGAAGGACCACCAGUGGCGAAGGCGUCUCACCAGAACGGACCUGACGGCAAGGGACGAAAGCUAGGGGCACGAACCGGAUUAGAUACCCGGGUAGUCCUAGCCGUAAACGAUACUCGCUAGGUGUCGGCAACGGUGCGACCGUUGUCGGUGCCGUAGGGAAGCCGUGAAGCGAGCCACCUGGGAAGUACGGCCGCAAGGCUGAAACUUAAAGGAAUUGGCGGGGGAGCACCACAACGGGUGGAGCUUGCGGUUUAAUUGGAUUCAACGCCGGAAAUCUUACCGGGACCGACAGCAAUAUGAAGGCCAGGCUGAAGACUUUGCCGGAUUAGCUGAGAGGUGGUGCAUGG